GACGAGCGCUGGCGGCGUGCUUAACACAUGCAAGUCGAACGAAGAGCGAUGGAAGCUUGCUUCUAUCAAUCUUAGUGGCGAACGGGUGAGUAACGCGUAAUCAACCUGCCCUUCAGAGGGGGACAACAGUUGGAAACGACUGCUAAUACCGCAUACGAUCCAAUCUCGGCAUCGGGACUGGAUGAAAGGUGGCCUCUAUUUAUAAGCUAUCACUGAAGGAGGGGAUAGCGUCUGAUUAGCUAGAUGGAGGGGUAACGGCCCACCUAGGCGAUGAUCAGUAGCCGGUCUGCGAGGAUGGACGGCCACAUUGGGACUGUGACACGGCCCAUACUCCUACGGGAGGCAGCAGUGGGGAAUCGUCCGCCAUGGGCGAAAGUCUGUCGGAGCAACGCCGCGUGAGUGAUGACGGCCUUCGGGUUGUAAAGCUCGGUUAUUCGGGACGAAUGGUUCUUGUGCGAAUAGGGCGAGGAUUUGACGGUACCGGAAUAGAAAGCCACGGCUAACUACGUG
rnacentral:rRNA from 1 species